CAGAUCAGGGCGGGUGGGAACUGCAAGAUGCUUAACCCUCCCCACACCAGGCUGCAGCUACCAUCAAGGCAACCGUCCCCAGCAGUGGGUGUUUUCUCCAUUCCACUCCCAACCCAGUCCUGGUUUUCUCCUAUGGGAUAGAGCUUCUCUCUCCUUUGCCUCUUCCCCACCCUCUCAGUCUUUGAAUUCUGUCAUCUCUCAACACAAGCCUAUGAACACUUUAGGGAGCUGUUUUUGAUAGAGCCCUGCUUGAACAGGUGAUGUGCUAGAAAGUCACAGAUGGGGAAACAGAGACUCCUUCAGUAUCUAGGUAUCAGGUCUGUUGCUUCUGCUUGCCCCGUGUGUCCAGUGAGAGAGCUCCUGUGUCACUGGCCGCUGGCUUCAUCUGCCUUCCAGACAUCUCACAUGUCUUCCCUGAUGUUUGUUCACACCCACGUAGGCCUAGCUUUGACUGGCAUCAGUCUCUCCUGCGGAGGCUCCAAGCAGACCCCACCCCCUUCUGCGGUCCUGCUUCCAGCUUCGCUCCUUGGACCCGCUGCCGCCAGCUCUCAGCUCUCCAUGAACAGACCUGCUAGGCUAGAUGUGCUUCCCUGGCCAUAAUCCAUCCACCUAGUACCUUCCACCCACUAGCCUACCUGACCCCUGACCCUGGCCCAUUUCUCCAGCUCAAUCUC
rnacentral:lncRNA from 1 species